AUGCUGUUUGCCAGCCUGCUUGGGGCAGCCGUCACCUCCAUCUGCCUUGGAACCAGCAUGGCCCAGAAAGUAUCUCAAGCUCAAACUGCAGUUUCAGGGCUGGAGAAGGAGGCUGUGACCAUGGACUGUGUGUAUGAAACCAGUGAUUCUGCUUAUUCCUUAUUCUGGUACAAACAACCAGCGAGUGGGGAAAUGAUUUUCCUUAUUCGUCAGGACUCUUACAGUGAACACAAUGCAACGGAGGGCCGGUAUUCUCUGAGUUUUCAGAAGGCAGCCAGGUCCAUCAGGCUCACCAUCACAGCCUCCCAGCUCCUGGACUCAGCAGUGUACUUCUGUGCUCUGAGAGAGGGCACAGUGAGCAGAGGCCUGUAG